rnacentral:rRNA from 1 species
GUUUAGUAUUUGGUCGUAGACCCGAAACCAGGUGAUCUACCCUUGGUCAGGUUGAAGUUCAGGUAACACUGAAUGGAGGACCGAACCGACUUACGUUGAAAAGUGAGCGGAUGAACUGAGGGUAGCGGAGAAAUUCCAAUCGAACCUGGAGAUAGCUGGUUCUCUCCGAAAUAGCUUUAGGGCUAGCCUCAAGUGAUGAUUAUUGGAGGUAGAGCACUGUUUGGACGAGGGGCCCCUCUCGGGUUACCGAAUUCAGACAAACUCCGAAUGCCAAUUAAUUUAACUUGGGAGUCAGAACAUGGGUGAUAAGGUCCGUGUUCGAAAGGGAAACAGCCCAGACCACCAGCUAAGGUCCCAAAAUAUAUGUUAAGUGGAAAAGGAUGUGGCGUUGCCCAGACAACUAGGAUGUUGGCUUAGAAGCAGCCAUCAUUUAAAGAGUGCGUAAUAGCUCACUAGUCGAGUGACACUGCGCCGAAAAUGUACCGGGGCUAAACAUAUUACCGAAGCUGUGGAUUGUCCUUUGGACAAUGGUAGGAGAGCGUUCUAAGGGCGUUGAAGCAUGAUCGUAAGGACAUGUGGAGCGCUUAGAAGUGAGAAUGCCGGUGUGAGUAGCGAAAGACGGGUGAGAAUCCCGUCCACCGAUUGACUAAGGUUUCCAGAGGAAGGCUCGUCCGCUCUGGGUUAGUCGGGUCCUAAGCUGAGGCCGACAGGCGUAGGCGAUGGAUAACAGGUUGAUAUUCCUGUACCACCUAUAAUCGUUUUA